GAAUAAAUAACACGACAGUGCGGUGAGUUUGAAGUCUAAUUGUUAGGUACAGAGGAAUAAUGGGAGUGAAUGGUGGUUCAUCCCUGUGGUCAGGGUUCUGUCAUAUACAUGUGUGUAACUAUCCCUGUGGUCAGGGUUCUGUCAUACAUGUGUGUAACCAUCCCUGUGGUCAGGGUUCUGUCAUACAUGUGUGUAACCAUCCCUGUGGUCAGGGUUCUGUCAUAUACAUGUGUGUAACCAUCCCUGCGGUCAGGGUUCUGUCAUACAUGUGUGUAACCAUCCCUGUGGUCAGGGUUCUGUCAUAUACAUGUGUGUAACCAUCCCUGUGGUCAGGGUUCUGUCAUACAUGUGUGUAACCAUCCCUGUGGUCAGGGUUCUGUCAUACAUGUGUGUAACCAUCCCUGUGGUCAGGGUUCUGUCAUAUACAUGUGUGUAACCAUCCCUGCGGUCAGGGUUCUGUCAUAUACAUGUGUGUAACCAUCCCUGUGGUCAGGGUUCUGUCAUACAUGUGUGUAACCAUCCCUGUGGUCAAGGUUCUGUCAUACAUGUGUGUAAUAGUCUUGGUUGUUAUAUAUAUAUAAUAUAUAUAUUUGACAGCAGAGUUAGACAGUGAGAGAGAGAGAGAGAAAGGUCUUCCUUCUGUUGGUUCACUCCCCAAAUGGCCACCACGGCCAGCACGUUGCGCCGAUCCGAAGCCAGGAGCCAAGUGCUUCCUCCUGGUCUCCCAUGGGGUGCAGGGCCCAAGCACUCGGGCCAUCCUCCACUGUCUUCCCGGGCCACAGCAGAGAGCUGGACUGGAAGAGGAGCAACUGGGACUAGAACCCGGUGCCCACAUGGGGUGCUGGUGCCGCAGGCAGACGAUUAACCUAGUGAGCCAUGGCGCCGGCCCCCAUUGGCUAUUAUAUUUUAAAUUAAUAUCAAUUAUGGAUGCAUCUGUGGCCUACUUACGCAUUGUGAGGAAAUAACUCACACAUGUCAUUAAAUACUUGUAACUUUUAAUUGAUUAUAACACUACAUUUGGCCGGCGCCGCGUCUCACUAGGCUAAUCCUCCGCCUAGCGGCGCCAGCACACCAGGUUCUAGUCCCGGUCGGGGCGCCGGAUUCUGUCCCGGUUGCCCCUCUUCCAGGCCAGCCCUCUGCUGUGGCCAGGGAGUGCAGUGGAGGAUGGCCCAAGUGCUUGGGCCCUGCACCCCAUGGGAGACCAGGAGAAGCACCUGGCUCCUGCCAUCGGAUCAGCACGGUGCGCCGGCCACAGCACGCCGGCCGCAGCGGCCAUUGGAGGGUGAACCAACGGCAAAAGGAAGACCUUUCUCUCUGUCUCUCUCUCUCACUGUCCACUCUGCCUGUCAAAGAAAAAAAAAAAAACCACUACAUUUAGUUCAGAUUGCCA